rnacentral:tRNA from 1 species
GCACCCGUAGCUCAAUCGGAUAGAGCAUCGGACUUCGGAUCCGAGGGUUGUAGGUUCGAAUCCUACCGGGUGUACCA